CGGGUGAGUAAUGCCUAGAAUCUGCUGGUAGUGGGGGAUAACGUUCGGAAACGGACGCUAAUACCGCAUACGUCCUACGGGAGAAAGCAGGGGACCUUCGGGCCUUGCGCUAUCAGAUGAGCCUAGGUCGGAUUAGCUAGUUGGUGGGGUAAUGGCUCACCAAGGCGACGAUCCGUAACUGGUCUGAGAGGAUGAUCAGUCACACUGGAACUGAGACACGGUCCAGACUCCUACGGGAGGCAGCAGUGGGGAAUAUUGGACAAUGGGCGAAAGCCUGAUCCAGCCAUGCCGCGUGUGUGAAGAAGGUCUUCGGAUUGUAAAGCACUUUAAGUUGGGAGGAAGGGUUGUAGAUUAAUACUCUGCAAUUUUGACGUUACCGACAGAAUAAGCACCGGCUAACUCUGUGCCAGCAGCCGCGGUAAUACAGAGGGUGCAAGCGUUAAUCGGAAUUACUGGGCGUAAAGCGCGCGUAGGUGGUUAGUUAAGUUGGAUGUGAAAUCCCCGGGCUCAACCUGGGAACUGCAUUCAAAACUGACUGACUAGAGUAUGGUAGAGGGUGGUGGAAUUUCCUGUGUAGCGGUGAAAUGCGUAGAUAUAGGAAGGAACACCAGUGGCGAAGGCGACCACCUGGACUGAUACUGACACUGAGGUGCGAAAGCGUGGGGAGCAAAC
rnacentral:rRNA from 1 species